rnacentral:lncRNA from 1 species
UGUUUAGGGCCCUGGUACAGGUGGGGGCGACCUACCGUGGCGAGGAGACCGGGACCUGUCUCCCCAGGACUCGGGACUCCUCAUGGUGGCAGCGCCCGGCAAUGGCCUCCCUCUGCGCCUCAGGUGGGCUCCCUGCCGGCCGCCCCAGCAGCAAGGGCGGGAGCAUGGCGAGCAGGGCUGAGCGGGCGGGCAGGGCCUGGCCUGGGGCUCGGGGCUCCAAGCAUGGGCGCAGUGCAAGGCGGUGGCCAA